GCGAUCGUAGUUCAAUUGGUUAGAGCGUCGGCUUGUGAUGCCGGAUGUUGCGGGUUCAAGUCCCGUCGGUCGCCCCA
rnacentral:tRNA from 46 species